ACAGCGAAGGCAGGAGCUGGUGCGCAGUAGGUUCGCAAGGGUCAAGAGGAACAGGGUCCCUCCAGCAGGAAAUGAAGCAGAUGGAGGACCCGGCAGCACACAGCACAGAGAUUAGGAAAGUGCUACUCUGGCAGAAGGAGCCACCUCAGGUGGGCAGUGUUUCCCUCACAUCCUUGGAGGAACCCAAGCUCAAAGAGACCAUGUGACUGCCCCAAGGUCUCCCAGAGGGCGAAAGCGACAGGACUGGACCCUGGGCUUUGCCUUGAAAUCCACUGCUGUGAAACUGUGACAGUGAUGAGGCAAAGGCCUUCUGUAACCUGAGACUCCCCAGAUCCAGGAAAACCCUGGUAAGAAGCGUGGAGUCACUGUCUGCCUGUGGGGAAGAGGUUUCUCAGAGUAUUUCAGAUUCCACCAAAGUGCACUGGAUAAAUCAUGCAAUGUCUGCACAUAAGAAUUCACCUCCUUCCUGAAAAAGUCACAUGGAAACAGCUGCCCACCGCUGGCCUGCUCCAGAUACUUCAUAAAAGUCAGCACUGGCUCUAUUCUUCUUUGCCUCCCCUUUCACACCUGCAGUCGACCAUUUCGCCGGGCUGUGGCAGGAAGCGUGACUCUUGAUGGCAGAGCACGAGGCAUCGCUUUUCCCCCUUGCUCUACACCUU